rfam:Triticum aestivum genome assembly, contig: Triticum_aestivum_CS42_TGACv1_scaffold_526647_6DL
AAUGUACUCCCUCCGUCCGAAAAAACUUGUCCCAAGCUUAUCCCUCAAGUGGAUGUAUCUAGAACCUAGUUAGUGCUAGAUACAUCCAUUUGAGGGACAAGCUUUUCCAGACAGAGGGAGUAGGAU